GACGAACGCUGGCGGCGCGCCUAACACAUGCAAGUCGAACGGAGUUAUUUUGGUUGAAGUUUUCGGAUGGAUACCGAAUUAACUUAGUGGCGAACGGGUGAGUAACGCGUGAGUAACCUGCCCUGGAGUGGGGGACAACAGUUGGAAACGACUGCUAAUACCGCAUAAGCCCACGGCCCGGCAUCGGGCUGAGGGAAAAGGAUUUAUUCGCUUCAGGAUGGGCUCGCGUCCAAUUAGCUAGUUGGUGAGGUAACGGCCCACCAAGGCGACGAUUGGUAGCCGGACUGAGAGGUUGAACGGCCACAUUGGGACUGAGACACGGCCCAGACUCCUACGGGAGGCAGCAGUGGGGGAUAUUGCACAAUGGGGGAAACCCUGAUGCAGCGACGCCGCGUGGAGGAAGAAGGUUUUCGGAUUGUAAACUCCUGUCGUUAGGGACGAUAAUGACGGUACCUAACAAGAAAGCACCGGCUAACUACGUGCCAGCAGCCGCGGUAAAACGUAGGGUGCAAGCGUUGUCCGGAAUUACUGGGUGUAAAGGGAGCGCAGGCGGACCGGCAAGUUGGAAGUGAAAUCUAUGGGCUCAACCCAUAAAUUGCUUUCAAAACUGCUGGCCUUGAGUAGUGCAGAGGUAGGUGGAAUUCCCGGUGUAGCGGUGGAAUGCGUAGAUAUCGGGAGGAACACCAGUGGCGAAGGCGACCUACUGGACACCAACUGACGCUGAGGCUCGAAAGCAUGGGUAGCAAACAGGAUUAGAUACCCUGGUAGUCC
rnacentral:rRNA from 1 species